rnacentral:lncRNA from 1 species
UUUAGGGCUGUGCUACUCCAUUAGUUCAAGUUUUUAAAAAAUGGAAACCACCCCCCCACCCAAAUUAAAGUCUUUAGGUAAUAGAAAACUAGGUAUGAUUUCAAGUAGCCUCAUGAGACAAAACAACAGUAUCCUUCCGUGGAGGGGUCUUUCAGAGGACUGAGUAGCUUUGUGAUCAUAAAAUCAAGCGCGUCAAGGCACCUGACGAGUGCUUUUGGUGUUCCGGGGGCAGGAACUGUCACCUCGCAUAAUAUAUUUCAUCACCUGCGAGUCGUCAGUCUCUCUUGCGUUGCUGAGAUUCUCAGUUAGGGAUUUAGCUGAAGCAGAGCUGUCAGACUUCAUUUGGGGAAGUUACUGCCCUCCUCAAGCCCUCCUCUUUCAUGACUGUGAAAAAGUGAUUAGGUAAGUGUGAGGAUUGGUUGUGGUUAGAUGUGUGAUAAUAUUUUGAACACUCAAGUAAUCUAUAUGAAUUCUAUUUACAUUCUAUACUUAAAUGUAUAGAGAGUAUGUAAAUGAAUUAUGAAUAUCACUAAUAUUAACAAAUUGCAAGUCUGAUGUAUCAGGAGGUCUUACAUGUGCUUUAUUAAGCAUUUAAAAGUAUUUGAUAAAGGAAAAUUAAUUUUAAAAAGCACAUAUAAUUAUAUAGAUUUAUUUCCUCCAAACAGCUCCCUGACUGUGAGCUCAUUGAGGGAUGUGAUAUCCUUAUACUUCUCAGGAGAUUUGUUUUUUCUUUUUUUUAACUUUGGAAGAAUUUUCAAAAUGUUGUCGUGAUGAAGAAAAAGGGCAGUGAUUUUAGACUUAUAAUAAAAAUUUCAUAGCUGUGACUGCUUGAACGCUUGUAAGAAUUUUAAGAGAAUCAUCCCAAAAUGGUGUAAGGUAUCUUGUGUGUGAGGACCAUAGAAAGUGACAGGGCCAAGGGAUAAAAGUGACGUCUUACAGAUUAAUAAAGU